AGAGUUUGAUCMUGGCUCAGAAUGAACGCUGGCGGCGUGCCUAACACAUGCAAGUCGGAUGUGCCCGCAAGGGYGCAUGGCAGACGGGUGAGUAACGCGUGGGGAAUCUACCUCUUUGUGGGGAAUAACGCUCCGAAAGGAGUGGUAAUACCGCAUGAGAUCCAUGGCUGGGAUGCUGUGGAUGAAACCUGGGGACCUUCGGGCCUGGGGCAAGGAGAGGAUCCUGCGUCUGAUUAGCUAGUUGGUGAGGUAACGGCCCACCAAGGCAACGAUCAGUAGCCGGCCUGAGAGGGUGAUCGGCCACACUGGAACUGAGACACGGUCCAGACUCCUACGGGAGGCAGCAGUGGGGAAUUUUGCGCAAUGGGCGAAAGCCUGACGCAGCAACGCCGCGUGGGUGAUGAAGGUCUUCGGAUCGUAAAACCCUGUCGUCAGGGACGAAGGUUUGGGCGUUAAUAGCGCUUAAGCUUGACGGUACCUGGAGAGGAAGCCCCGGCUAACUCUGUGCCAGCAGCCGCGGUAAUACAGAGGGGGCAAGCGUUAUUCGGAAUUAUUGGGCGUAAAGGGCGCGUAGGCGGCUUUUUAAGUGAGAUGUGUAWUCCCCGAGCUCAACUUGGGAACUGCAUCUCAUACUGGAAGGCUAGAGUACUGGAGAGGGUGGUAGAAUUCCACGUGUAGYGGUGAAAUGCGUAGAGAUGUGGAGGAAUACCAGUGGCGAAGGCGGCCACCUGGACAGUAACUGACGCUGAGGCGCGAAAGYGUGGGUAGCAAACAGGAUUAGAUACCCUGGUAGUCC
rnacentral:rRNA from 1 species